rnacentral:rRNA from 1 species
UACGUAGGGUGCAAGCGUUAAUCGGAAUUACUGGGCGUAAAGCGUGCGCAGGCGGUUUUGUAAGUCUGUCGUGAAAUCCCCGGGCUCAACCUGGGAAUUGCGAUGGAGACUGCAAGGCUAGAAUCUGGCAGAGGGGGGUAGAAUUCCACGUGUAGCAGUGAAAUGCGUAGAGAUGUGGAGGAAUACCGAUGGCGAAGGCAGCCCCUCG